GACGAGCCACACGAACGUUAUUCGGAAUCACUGGGCUUAAAGGGUGCGUAGGCUGCGCAGAAAGUUGGGUGUGAAAUCCGACAGCUUAACUGUCGAAGUGCACUCAAAACUACUGUGCUCGAGGGAGAUAGAGGUAAGCGGAACUGAGGGUGGAGCGGUGAAAUGCGUUGAUAUCCUCAGGAACACCGGUGGCGAAAGCGGCUUACUGGAUCUCUUCUGACGCUGAGGCACGAAAGCUAGGGGAGCAAACGGG
rnacentral:rRNA from 1 species